GUAAAGAUGAGGAUCAGGAGGAGUAAGCGGGAUCGGCUCUGGCGAGCCGCUCUUGAGCGGAAAGAGAAGAGGGUCACCGGCUGCAAGCCCUCGCAGCGCCCCCCGCUGAACGUCACCUGGGAGUCGAGAGACUGAACGGGCCAAUAAUCGCCAGGUAAGUCUCUCCGGAUUCGUCCGUUAUCGCGAGCGCCCUGUUCUAUAGGGCGACAGAGUGCAACGAUAGAACCCACUAGUCCCGAAAAUCCGUGUUCUAUUGUUGAACCAGGGUGGUACCGCGAAAGAUUCCCCCUUUCGUCCUUGGA
rnacentral:ncRNA from 1 species